CCUACGGGAGGCAGCAGUGAGGAAUAUUGGUCAAUGGGCGCGAGCCUGAACCAGCCAAGUCGCGUGAGGGACGACGGCCCUACGGGUUGUAAACCUCUUUUGCCGGGGAGCAACGUGCGCCCCGUUUGCCGCCCCUGAGAGUCCCCGGAGACAAAGCCUCGGCUAACUCCGUGCCAGCAGCCGCGGUAAUACGGAGGAUGCGAGCGUUCUCCGGAUUUAUUGGGUUUAUAGGGUGCGUAGGGGGAGCGUUAAGUCAGUGGUAAAGUUGAGGGUCGAAACCCCUUCCCGCCAUUGAAACUGGCGCGCUGGAGUGGGAGAGAAGUAGGCGGAAUGCGUGGGGUAGCGGUGAAAUGCAUAGAGAGCACGCAGAACCCCGAUUGCGAAGGCAGCAUGCCGGCUUCCGACAGACGCUGAAGCACGAAAGCGUGGGGAUCGAACAGGAUUAGAUACCCCAGUAGUC
rnacentral:rRNA from 1 species